UAUCUUAAAUCUUUGUCCUUUAAGUUUACCUAGGAUGUUUCUUAUUCUGAGCCGAUCAAUAACAGAAAUUGGUACCAGGAGUGGGAUAUGAGCCACCAUUUCAACACCUUCAUUUCAUUAUCAGAAUCUUCAUGAACAUAGGGGAGUCCCAUACAUUCAAAUUUUAUGACUCCAACUGGAGUGCUGGGCCAGAGAGGAAUAAUAGAGAAUAAUGAGAAUUUAAGUCAUGCAGUCACUUCCGCCUACCAUUUCUCUCGAGUAUUCCCCUAGACUGAGUGUUAAAAGGGAGAUGUUAAUCUAUAGCUCCCUCAAUUGGUCAUAGAUUCUCUGCCUUACAGUGUGAGCUUCUCACUGUGCAGGGUGUGAUUCUAGUGUUUAAAGAUAAGUUUUUUUAUACAAGAUGGCCUCAAAUACAAGCCAACUACUUCAUCUGGUGCUCACCCAAAGAAUGAGCCAUCUGUUUGAAUGCUGAAGGAAAAAUUGGCUGUGUUGGACAUAUUGAGAGUCUGCCUCCAACAUGGUCUGUAAAUGUUGUAUACUGUAUUUUAAAGGUGACUUAGAUUUCCAAGCAUAAUUUUGACUUUAUGAUGUUUUUUUUCCUAGUAUGUACAUCUCUGUAUGAGAAGUAAACUCUGCUAUAGUACAUGUUGCAUCCUUCCAGUGUCCCUCUGUUACUGGAUAACAUAGACUGCCUCAGAAGUCCUUUCCCUGAGUGGCAGGGAACAAAGCUCAAGCCACUCCAGAAUCCUCCCCUCGCCACUCUGAGAGGCAAUAUGGAGUCUGCAUCCCAGCUACAGGUUUGGCCAGUGUCCAACCCUGGACCAGCAUCAUGGCCAGGGUGGGAGAGGAACUAUCUUUGGCGUCUGGAAGCACAAAUUUAUUUGUCAUUUGGAACCUGAGAUAUGGAUCAGUCUUUCCUCAUGGCCAGACCUCACCUGAAAAAGCAGCGACCAGGACAAGACUCUGGACAAAGUCUGCUGGUUAGGGGGCAGCUGCUCUGAUGGCCACAGAUAUGGGGCUGUAUGUAGACUCGUUUUGUCAAAUAGACAUGCUGGAUGAGAUCUCUAAGGUUAUUUCCAGCUUUGACAUUUUAUCAUCUGACAAUGUGUAGGUUUUGAUAUUAACCAAGAAUCAGUUCUGCUCCAUUUGUUUAAAAUAAAUCUCUUCACCUGUUGGUCACACUUCUUUAGUGAUGAGACCAGGUUCUACCAAGGGCAGAAGAGAAGGUGAAAUCUGCAAGUCCUCUAGAUUCCUUUCUACAUUCACAUGUGUAUCAACUCUGCUUUCUCUUCCUUCUACUAGACCAUGAGUUGUUUGGGAACAGGAGCUGUGUCUUGUUAAUCUUGCUUUUCCCAAUGUCAAGCAUGGUGCCUGCAUUCAGGGGUAUGUACUAAGCGUCCGAACUACGGAACUGAAUAAUUCUAUGUGACCUUCAAGUCUACCUUAAAUUAGAACCUUUAUGUAAUUUGCUUUACUUUUUAUCCCCUUACAUUUGGAAAACCUGUUACUCAGUGUAAUCUUAUGCUACUUUAUCUUAAUAAUUAAAAACAUUAGCUUUAUAUUAAA